GACGAACGCUGGCGGCGUGCCUAAUACAUGCAAGUCGAGCGGGGAUUAUGCUUGAUCGCUUCGGUGAGACGGCAUAUAUCCUAGCGGCGGACGGGUGAGUAACGCGUGGGUAAUCUACCUCGUAGUUCGGGAUAACAGGCCGAAAGGCUUGCUAAUACCGGAUGAGUUCAUGCUUAUGCAUAUAGGCAUGAAGAAAGGGCUAGCCCGCUAUGAGAUGAGCCCGCGUCCCAUUAGCUUGUUGGUGGGGUAAUGGCCUACCAAGGCAACGAUGGGUAGCCGGCCUGAGAGGGUGUACGGCCACACUGGGACUGAGACACGGCCCAGACUCCUACGGGGGGCAGCAGUAGGGAAUUUUCGGCAAUGGGCGAAAGCCUGACCGAGCGACGCCGCGUGAGGGACGAAGGCCUUCGGGUUGUAAACCUCUGUCUGGGGGAUGAGAACGGACGGUACCCCGGACGGAAGCCCGGCUAACUACGUGCCAGCAGCCGCGGUAAAGUCACGUCG
rnacentral:rRNA from 1 species